CAGUAGCCGCGGUAAUACAGAGGGUGCAAGCGUUAAUCGGAAUUACUGGGCGUAAAGCGCGCGUAGGUGGUUCGCCAAGUUGGAUGUGAAAUCCCCGGGCUCAACCUGGGAACUGCAUCCAAAACUGGCGAGCUAGAGUAUGGUAGAGGGUGGUGGAAUUUCCUGUGUAGCGGUGAAAUGCGUAGAUAUAGGAAGGAACACCAGUGGCGAAGGCGACCACCUGGACUGAUACUGACACUGAGGUGCGAAAGCGUGGGGAGCAAACAGGAUUAGAUACCCCCGUAGUCCCUGUCUCUUAUAC
rnacentral:rRNA from 1 species